UACGGAGGGUGCAAGCGUUAUCCGGAUUCACUGGGUUUAAAGGGUGCGUAGGUGGGCAGGUAAGUCAGUGGUGAAAUCUCUGGGCUUAACUCAGAAACUGCCAUUGAUACUAUCUGCCUUGAAUACCGUGGAGGUCAGCGGAAUAUGUCAUGUAGCGGUGAAAUGCUUAGAUAUGACAUAGAACACCAAUUGCGAAGGCAGCUGGCUACACGAAUAUUGACACUGAUGCACGAAAGCGUGGGGAUCAAACAGG
rnacentral:rRNA from 1 species